CUGGAGAGAGCUUCAUUUUGAGCUGCGAGUUUGCAUGUUUAACAGUCCAACAUGUGGCACAGCUGUGGAGGGACAGCCCGCAUGAGGGGAGUGUGUCUCUUGUCAACAUAACCUCCAUCCUUCCAAAUGUGACUGUGGUCCUGAGUAUCGGCUCUGCUACAAAGGCAGACACUGGUUAUUACUCCUGUAUGACCCAGCCCCCUGAUACAAUCAGCUCUGAAGUCUUGAUUCAGGUAGCAGAUAACUUGACAACCCCCACUCUGAACACAUCCAGUAUUCCAUGGUGUGACAGCACCAAACAGCAGAGCAGUGCAG